UAGCCUCCUCGUUCGUCUUCUCAGGACUCCAGAGAACCGUUGGGGAACUUUGGGGUGUGCUCGGAAAAGGCAGCGUGCGCACCUAGGGCGAGGGACUAGCUGGGAAGGGUGUGCCUGUGCUUGGGGAUGGGAGCAGGAAGUGUCUGGGACCUCGUCGCCCCCGCGGCGGUGUAUAAAGCCGGGCGGGCCGUCAGAGCGGAGCUUCAGAGCAGAGACAAGAGCCCAGAAAGGAGCAGAUGCUAGAUUUGCAAGAUCAGAAGCAGGUCUUGAUCCUCCUGCCCAGGAUGAACCAGACUUGAUGAUGCCACCUUCAGGAGCCACCACACUGUGUGACAGUGGGGCAUUUGGGCCGUCCCUGGGAAGAACAGCUGAAGCACAGUCCUCUGUACUCGCCCAGGAGCCACAGAGAGUGAACAUCCCUCAGACUCUCUCCUGGCUUUGAUGAAGCAAGCUGCCAUGUUGGAGAGGCCUACAUGACAAGGAACUGAAGGUUGCCUCCAGCCAGCUCCAGCCAACAGCCAUCCAGGAAUUGAGGCUCUCAGUCCAACAGGCCUUGAGGAACUGCAUCCAGCCAGCAACUAUAGAAGUGAGCAAAGAAGGGUGUAUUUCCCCAGUCAAGCCUUCAGAUGAGACCCCAGCCCCAGCUGACACCUUAAUUGCAGCCUUGUGAGAGA
rnacentral:lncRNA from 1 species